UAAUACAGAGGUCCCAAGCGUUGUUCGGAUUCACUGGGCGUAAAGGGUGCGUAGGUGGCCGGGAAAGUUUGAUGUGAAAGCUCGGAGCUCAACUCCGAAAUGGCAUUGAAUACUAUCUGGCUUGAGGGUCGGAGGGGAGACUGGAAUUCUCGGUGUAGCAGUGAAAUGCGUAGAUAUCGAGAGGAACACCAGUGGCGAAGGCGAGUCUCUGGACGACACCUGACACUGAGGCACGAAAGCUAGGGGAGCAAACAGGAUUAGAUACCCUGGUAGUCCUAGCCGUAAACGGUGCACGUUUGCUGUGGGCGGAUUCGACCCCGUCCGUGGCGAAGCUAACGCGAUAAACGUGCCGCCUGGGAAGUACGGUCGCAAGAUUAAAACUCAAAUGAAUUGACGG
rnacentral:rRNA from 1 species